AUUGAACGCUGGCGGCAGGCCUAACACAUGCAAGUCGAGCGGAUGAUGGGAGUUUGCUCCUGGGUUAAGCGGCGGACAGGUGAGUAAUGCCUAGGAAUAUGCCUGGUAGUGGGGGCUAAAGUCUGGACUCGGGCGCUAAUUCCUCAUUCGUCCUGAGGGAGAAAGUGGGGGUUCUUAGGACCCUACGCUAUAAGAUGAGGCUAGGGAGGAUUAGCUAGUUGGGGGGGUAAAGGCCUACCAAGCCUACGAUCCGUAACUGGUCCGAGAGGAUGAUCAGUCACACUUGAACUUGGACACGGUCCAGACUCCUAAGGGAUGCAAGAGGGGGGAAUAAUUGGCAAUGGGCGAAAGCCUGAUCCAGCCAUGCCGCGUGUGUGAAGAAGGUCUUCGGAUUGUAAAGCACUUUAAGUAGGGAGGAACGGCAGUAAGAGAAAACCUGGCUGUCUUGACGUUACCUACAGAAAAAGCACCGGCUAACUUCGUG
rnacentral:rRNA from 1 species